UACAGAGGUCCCAAGCGUUGUUCGGAUUCACUGGGCGUAAAGGGUGCGUAGGUGGUGAGGUAAGUCGGAUGUGAAAUCUCCGGGCUCAACCCGGAAAUGGCAUUGGAAACUACCUUGCUUGAGGGUUUGAGGGGGAUUGGAAUACUUGGUGUAGCAGUGAAAUGCGUAGAUAUCAAGUGGAACACCAGUGGCGAAGGCGAAUCCCUGGAAAAUACCUGACACUGAGGCACGAAAGCUAGGGGAGCAAACAGG
rnacentral:rRNA from 1 species